rnacentral:rRNA from 1 species
AUUGAACGCUGGCGGCAGGCUUAACACAUGCAAGUCGAGCGGGGUGAUGGUGCUUGCACUAUCACUUAGCGGCGGACGGGUGAGUAAUGCUUAGGAAUCUGCCUAUUAGUGGGGGACAACAUCUCGAAAGGGAUGCUAAUACCGCAUACGUCCUACGGGAGAAAGCAGGGGAUCACUUGUGACCUUGCGCUAAUAGAUGAGCCUAAGUCGGAUUAGCUAGUUGGUGGGGUCAAGGCCUACCAAGGCGACGAUCUGUAGCGGGUCUGAGAGGAUGAUCCGCCACACUGGGACUGAGUCACGGCCCAGACUCCUACGGGAGGCAGCAGUGGGGAAUAUUGGACAAUGGGGGGAACCCUGAUCCAGCCAUGCCGCGUGUGUGAAGAAGGCCUUAUGGUUGUAAAGCACUUUAAGCGAGGAGGAGGCUCUUUUGGUUAAUACCCAAGAUGAGUGGACGUUACUCGCAGAAUAAGCACCGGCUAACUCUGUGCCAGCAGCCGCGGUAA